CCUACGGGAGGCAGCAGUGGGGAAUAUUGCACAAUGGGGGGUACCCUGAUGCAGCGACGCCGCGUGGGUGAAGGAGUAUUUCGGUAUGUAAAGCCCUAUCAGCAGGGAAGAACAAUGACGGUACCUGAGUAAGAAGCCCCGGCCAAAUACGUGCCAGCAGCCGCGGUAAUACGUAGGGUGCAAGCGUUAUCCGGAUUUACUGGGUGUAAAGGGAGCGCAGGCGGCCCUGUAAGCCUGAUGUGAAAGCCCGUGGCCUAACCGGGGGACUGCAUUGGAAACUGGAGGGCUGGAGUGAAGGAGGGGUAGGCGGAAUUCCCAGUGUAGCGGUGAAAUGCGUAGAGAUCAGUAGGAACACCAGUGGCGAAGGCGGCCUGCUGGACGGUAACUGACGCUGAAGCUCGAAAGCGUGGGGAGCAAACAGGAUUAGAUACCCGAGUAGUC
rnacentral:rRNA from 1 species